rnacentral:rRNA from 1 species
UACGUAGGGUCCGAGCGUUGUCCGGAAUUACUGGGCGUAAAGCGCGCGCAGGCGGCUUCCCAAGCGCCACGUGAAAGCCCCGGGCUCAACUGGGGAGGGUCAUCGGUAACGGUCGUGCUGUGAGUGCAGGAGAGGGAUGUGGAACUCCGGGAGUAGCGGUGAAAUGCGUAGAUAUCGUGAGGAACACCAGAGGCGAAGGCGGUUACCUGGACAGUUACUGACGCUCAGGCACGAAAGCAUGGGGAGCAAAAGGG